UCUAAUUUUGUACUACUCCUAGCAGAUAAGCAAUGAGCUCCAUCAUCACUUGAGAUGACACAUGCAAUUUCACGGCGCUUGUGCUACUCUACACAGCUGCUUGGGCUGCAGCUGCACAGCUUCAAAACUUAAAAGAGCGCAAGCCGUUCGCUACCCAAAAUCUGCACUAUGGUGUAUGGUUUGCAUACUUAGCUUUGCUGGCUGCAGCUGCUACUGGUGGGCUGCCAACAGCCAGCAAGAAGAAGCUGGAGCCCCUCGGCGACGGCGACGCGCAGAAGGCGCGUACUUGUUGCCACCACCUCUCUGUUCUCGUUCUCCUGCUAUCUGAAUGUUCUCGAUUUCGACCGGACAAAAAAGCUUUUGAUUUCUUUGGAUAUUUUCCGUGGUUUUCACUCUCGUUUGCCACACCUUUUGUUACAUGAAAUCUUCCGAAAAAGUGCCGUCCUUUUGAUAUGUUUUGACUUUUGAGUCGUUCGAUUCGAUCGGCGUGUUCCUGUCUUUAAAGUGCCCCCUUUAUUUCUCUUCUCCGAGCGAGCAAUUUGCAUCGCACGAUCCCGUCGUGGACUCGUGGUCGCUUCGUCCAUGAUUUCUUUGUCCCAAAGGAUUCAUAAAGGCCGCGCUGCUCUGAAAAUAAAAUCUGCAGUUGAUGUUGCAACAACUGUUUUAUUGGUCGUGAUUAAAGUUUAAAUCUCCCGCUAUAGCUAUUUAGGCAUGGUACCGCUAUUUGAACUUAUGUAUAAUUUAGCCGCUAUAACUUACUAUAGUCUCAUUUAGCCUGUUAUUAACUAUUUUCAGAGUCCAGCCGCUAAACCCCUUAGCCCGUUAUUUAGAACCUUGGUCGUGAUAUGUGUUCUUGAGACUUGAGUUCUUGCAAUCUGAAGAAACUUUUGUCUCUCUCUCUCAAUUUUUAAUUUAUUCGGUUCUGGUGGCGCAUGCCCGAAAUAUUUCUUGCCCAGAGGCUUGCGUAAAAAUCAUCUUUUGCGAUCCAUUUCCAAGAUGCAAUCUUUGUACCCUAUUUUCUCACAUGUUUUUUUUUCCACAAGAGAAUGGGUUUGGAGGCCGUAGAUGCAAAAUUCUGAGAGCGCACAUGAAAGACUCGGUUCAUUUUUUUUUUCAGGUGAUUGCGAUUAACAACCAGUUCCCGGGCCCUCUCCUGAACGUGACGACGAACCAGAACGUGAGGGAACGUCCAAAAUAUGUGGUUGUUGGGCUGCAUAUGUCACUACUGAUAUGUCAAAGGCCCAUGAGCCCAUGUCUUGUAUGUGUAUGUAUAUGUAUACAAGGCUGUGACUACAGAAUUGCUGGAGAUCAAUGAGUACAACGCUAGCGGCAGCUACAUGGUAUAGUCUGGAACAACAAAGAGAACCGGAAGGCAAGCAUAACCGAAGCCAUUGCCAUACAGCAUGUCCUGAAGCAAUGGGAGGCACAGAAGGGUCGAAGAUAGAUAUACAUCUCGCUGGAAAAAAAAACAAAGGUUUUUUUGGUAGCUAACAAUCAAGAUCACCGGCCAGUGAAUUACGUGCCAAGGCACGUUCGCGAAAAAAAAAAAGAUCACCGGCCAGUCCAGCCGCUACUUCUACUCAAGAUGGUCAAUCUGGCGCCGUGUUCAGCUUGGCGGGUGCAAGCUCAACUAGCUUUAUUUAUGUUCUUUUUUGUCGAAAAAAGUAGAUUGGAGAAUAUCCUAGAGUAGACAUUUUCUUUUUGAGUAUUCGGUAACUGUAACCUUGCCUGGUGCUCCUACCACUUAAUUUGUCUGUGACAAGCUUCUGGAAGAGUAUGGACAUGUAU